rnacentral:rRNA from 1 species
UACGAAGGGGGCUAGCGUUGCUCGGAAUCACUGGGCGUAAAGGGUGCGUAGGCGGGUCUUUAAGUCAGGGGUGAAAUCCUGGAGCUCAACUCCAGAACUGCCCUUGAUACUGAGGAUCUUGAGUUCGGGAGAGGUGAGUGGAACUGCGAGUGUAGAGGUGAAAUUCGUAGAUAUUCGCAAGAACACCAGUGGCGAAGGCGGCUCACUGGCCCGAUACUGACGCUGAGGCGCGAAAGCGUGGGGAGCAAACAGG